AUAACCAUAUAAAAAGCAAUAUAUAUUUGUUUAUUAUAUACAGUUGUCCAACAGAAAAAUAAACUAUCUUAUUUACAAAUCUUUUCAAAAUAGACAGUUUGAUCGGGUCCUAGACAUUUGUCUCAUUUGUCUAUGCGAUGACCUGGCCCUGUCUUUUAACAACACAUAAAGAUGCUUGGUUAGCAAAUCUCUAGUGUAAGUUCAUGCAGAAUUUAUUAUUGAUAUUGGUGUUACUGUAUGAUAUGUUUUUCUACUAGAAAGGCAAUAACAUAUCUGUUCAGUAUUGUGAAGUCUGAUCCAUGUAUUUUUUUACGGUCUAAUUUAUUCUACAAGUUUACGAUAUCAAUUUGUUCAAUAGCUAUACUACAGCAGCAAAUAUACAAGUGUUUAUACAACCUAACUUAUAGAACUCUGACCACAGACAAAUCAAAUCAAAGGUCUAAUUACCACCAAUAUUCCAAGAACUGUUUUCUUUGUCAAAUAGAACAAUCUUUAAAAUUCUUCAUUAUUAUGUAGUUUUUCAAUUAUUUUAUGCAAUUUUUCUUUUAUUAUUUUAAUGUUUAGAUUAACUAUAUUUUUAAAUAUUAUAUAACAAUGAACUCAAAUGUAAACAUAUAUGUAACUCAAAAC
rnacentral:lncRNA from 1 species